CCUAAAAUUGGGUAGAUUAUAAUUGCUGGCAGCCUUUGUUUUACAACUACGCCCCCCUGUCAAUAUCAUUCAAGUGCCAAAAGAUCCUUGUCGCACUGUACGUUAAUUUAGCGUGAAUAUAAUAGA